GGCCCCUUUUGACUCUUCUUACAACAAUCGUAGUGGAUUACGGCCCAAUACCGUGACCAAUCUGACUUCGAGGGCAUUCUAAUCACAUCACAACCUACGUUCAGCGUCUGUACGAAGUCCAGCCCGAAGUGGCUCCUGCUCACCUGGGUGUUGUCUUCCGCGACUGCUUCAUCGAGGGAUUGACUCCAAGAAAGUCUCCUCCCAAUGAAACUUCAAAAGGUUGCGACGCGAUCGAGUCAGAGCUUUAAGAACAUAAUCUUUUGGCAGCUCACUCUCAGCAUCAGCAGCAUUAUCACCUUUCCUUGAAGGCUCACCAUCGUCCUCAACUGAGGAGCCUGGAAUGGCUAUAAGUACUAGGAACCUGGAUCACCAUUUUGCACCAUGUGUACCCAUAGUCUUUUGCAAGGUAGAGGAGUCCUUUACUCCGACCACAGCUAUAGCCUAUUGCAGGGGAAGAAACUGGGAUUUGGGUCAGAGCAUAUGAUUGGGACGCCUCCUUGUUGGGCCAAGACUUUCACUUGCAGUGAGGAAGCUGUCAAACCU